GGGGCUGUAGCUCAGAUGGAUAGAGCGGUCGCCUCCUAAGCGACAGGCCGCCGGUUCAAUUCCGGCCAGUCCCG
rfam:Gloeomargarita lithophora Alchichica-D10 chromosome.